UGAGAUUCUAUCUCAAAACAAGAAAUAAAAGUAGGUUUAUCUAUCAGUUAGCAUUGUCAAUUUAACACAGCUUAGCCGUCUGAAAAGAGAUUCUUUUUCACUUGAGGGAUUGUCUAGGUUAGAUUGGCCUGUGGAGGAUUGUCUCGAUUGUUAAUGGGUGCAGGAGAGCCUGGCCCACUAUGGGCAGCAACAUUCCCUAGGCAGGUGGUCUGGGUUGUAUAGGAAAACUAAGCACAAACCUGUAUCUUACCAGGGAUUGCUCACUAGCCAGUCUAGCCGACAUAGUGAGUCCUAGAAUCAGUCAGAGACUGUCUCAAAAAAAUACAGCGAAGAGAAAAAGAGUAAAAGAACCAUAUUGACCUGUGGCUCACACACACACACACACACACACACACACACACACACACACACUUAACUAUAGCAUGUUGGUCAAAGGGAUCAGAAAACUAAAUGAAGAGAUAAUCACAGCGGUAAGGAUGUCUUUGAGGUUCUCUAUUGGAACAUAAUCAUUUGGUGGCUUUCUGACUUCACAUUCCAUUCCCUCACAUGCUGUUCUAGUUUCCUUCCUGUUGCUGAGCAAGCAGCAUCGGGGAGGGAAGGGAUUACAUGGCUCACGCUUCAGGUCACAGUCCAUCACUGAGGGAUGUCAGGGAGUAUGGAGCAGAAACCAUGGAAGAAUGCUACUUGCUUUCCUCACUCCUGUGUCCUAGCAUCUAGACCCAACUGUCCUUCCCAUCCAUCCCCAGUCUGUACAGUCCGGCUCAGCACUCUAGUAUCUCUAGGGUGGUUGUGAGUCCCCAUGUGGCAGUUGAGCUGUCCUGGAAAGGGCCCAACCGGAACAACCAGGCGCCAAAGGUUCAGCUCAUGUGGAGUUGGCUCCUGGGCAAGUCCAUAAGAGUUGCCAGCUGAAGAGAAAAACCACAAAAUGGUUUGCCCUGAAGCCUUUUCUGAUGUGUGGUCAAGAGUGCGCUGCAGCCUUUCUCCGCCCCUACUACCCUCCCCAUCCCCUGAAUAAACUCUAUUCUAUACUAAG
rnacentral:lncRNA from 1 species